rnacentral:lncRNA from 1 species
UCGAGGCAAGUGGACACCCAAUUACGAGGGUCCAUUCGUGGUCAAGAAGGUCUUCUCUGGCGGAGCCUUGUUGUUGACGACCAUGGAUGGUGAGGAUUUUCCAUCCCCUAUGAAUGCGGACGCAGUUAAAAAAUACUUCGUAUAAGAGACCCGCUGGACGAAAAGAAUAAAAUAGUCCAAUGGAUGGUGAGGAUUUUCCAUCCCCUAUGAAUGCGGACGCAGUUAAAAAAUACUUCGUAUAAGAGACCCGCUGGACGAAAAGAAUAAAAUAGUCCAG